GGCGAGUGGCGAACGGGUGAGUAAUACAUCGGAACGUGUCCUGGAGUGGGGGAUAGCCCGGCGAAAGCCGGAUUAAUACCGCAUACGCUCUGUGGAGGAAAGCGGGGGAUCUUUCGGGACCUCGCGCUCAAGGGGCGGCCGAUGGCAGAUUAGGUAGUUGGUGGGGUAAAGGCCUACCAAGCCGACGAUCUGUAGCUGGUCUGAGAGGACGACCAGCCACACUGGUACUGAGACACGGCCCAGACUCCUACGGGAGGCAGCAGUGGGGAAUUUUGGACAAUGGGCGCAAGCCUGAUCCAGCAAUGCCGCGUGUGUGAAGAAGGCCUUCGGGUUGUAAAGCACUUUUGUCCGGAAAGAAAACCUCUGGGUUAAUACCCUGGGGGGAUGACGGUACCGGAAGAAUAAGCACCGGCUAACUACGUGCCAGCAGCCGCGGUAAUACGUAGGGUGCGAGCGUUAAUCGGAAUUACUGGGCGUUAAGCGUGCGCAGGCGGUGAUGUAAGACCGAUG
rnacentral:rRNA from 1 species